CUUCGGUGAUGAUACGAUGACGAGUCGGAACAGGACCCGGUCCAGUUCUGGUGGUUUCUGGUUCAGAGUCACGUUCUGUGGUUCUGCUCCGGCCCAUCAGAACCGCUGGGUCCAUUUCACUUGAAGACAUUGAGGCAUUUGUCUGAGAAGG